UUGUGGAAACUUUAAUAAAGCUCAAACUGUUCUUUGGAGGGUUGAAGAAGAGUCUUCAGUUCAUGGUCAUGUUAACGUGUUUCUUAAGAAGUUACAUCACAGGUGAUUUAAAUAGUGAAACCCGGUCAUGUGACGAGGACUCACUGGCUCCGUGUGUUUGCAUACGUGUCCUUCCUCUCUGCUCACACGCCUUAAGAGAGCUGAUCAGUGGCGGUCCAGGCCUCACGCACACUGGCACGCCGGCAGCACAAUGAUGAUGUCACUGAGUCUACUGCUGACCAGCCUGGGGCUCCUUGUUCAGGGUUCAUCAGGAGAAAUCAAGCUGACUCAGUCUCCUGGAUCUCAGUCUGUUCUUCCAGGACAGACUGUCUCCAUCAGGUGUAAAGCCAAUUCUGGCAUCAGUAGCAACCUUCACUGGUACCUACAGAAACCAGAAGAAUCUCCCAAACUUUUGAUUUAUCACGCUACAAAUCGUCAGUCUGGGAUCUCAGAUCGUUUCAGUGGAAGUCGAUCUAGAAGUGACUUCACUCUGACCAUCAGAGGAGUUCUGACUGAAGAUGCAGGAGAUUAUUAUUGUCAGCAGGGUUACAGCUCCCCGUUCACACAGUGAAACAACGUCGUACAAAAACCUCCUCAGCUGGAGAGGAACUGAUCCACUCAACAGCUGCACAGGAACACAGACACUUAACGUUUGAGUGACACUUUAACGUUUUUAAAGUUGUCAGAAAAUAUUGUUACAAAUAGAAUGAAUUAUAAUCUAGUUGAAUAUGGGAAAAGAUCCGUUAAUACAAUUUACAUGAUCACUAUAUAUUAAUCUCUGAAAUACAAUAUUCACCUCUA